rnacentral:rRNA from 1 species
CCUACGGGUGGCAGCAGUGGGGAAUAUUGCACAAUGGGGGGAACCCUGAUGCAGCGCCGCCGCGUGAGCGAGGAAGUAUUUCGGUAUGUAAAGCUCUAUCAGCAGGGACGAAAAAAGACGGUACCUGACUAAGAAGCCCCGGCUAACUACGUGCCAGCAGCCGCGGUAAUACGUAGGGGGCAAGCGUUAUCCGGAGUUAUUGGGUUUAAAGGGUGCGCAGGCUGAGGUGCAAGUCAGCGGUCAACGUGCGGGGCUCAACCCCGUACUGCCGGUGAAACGGCAUCCCUUGAGUGCGCGAGAAGUAUGCGGAAGGCGUGGUGUAGCGGUGAAAUGCAGAGAGAUCACGCAGAACUCCGAUUGCGAAGGCAGCAUACCGGCGCGCAACUGACGCUCAUGCACGAAAGCGUGGGUAUCGAACAGGAUUAGAUACCCCAGUAGUC